rnacentral:rRNA from 1 species
GACGAACCGUGCGAACGUUGAUCGGAAUCACUGGGUUUAAAGGGCGCGUAGGCGGGCUGUCAAGUCGGUGGUGAAAUCUUUCGGCUCAACCGGAAAAUCGCCUUCGAUACUGGCGGCCUUGAGGGAGGUAGGGGCAUGCGGAACUUCCGGUGGAGCGGUGAAAUGCGUAGAUAUCGGAAGGAACACCGAUGGCGAAAGCAGCGUGCUGGACCUUUUCUGACGCUGAGGCGCGAAAGCCAGGGGAGCAAACGGG